rnacentral:rRNA from 1 species
UACGGGGGGAGCAAGCGUUGUUCGGAUUUACUGGGCGUAAAGGGCGCGUAGGCGGUCAGCACAAGUCAGUUGUGAAAUCUCCGGGCUUAACUCGGAAAGGUCAACUGAUACUGUGCGGCUAGAGUGCGGAAGGGGCAACUGGAAUUCUUGGUGUAGCGGUGAAAUGCGUAGAUAUCAAGAGGAACACCUGCGGCGAAGGCGGGUUGCUGGGCCGACACUGACGCUGAGGCGCGAAAGCUAGGGGAGCGAACGGG